rnacentral:rRNA from 1 species
AUGAUAGUGAUGAAGCAUGUGCUUGCUAUGAUAGUGAUGAACAUAUACAUGCAUAUAUGCUCCUGCUUUCAUGGAUUGUCUAUAGUGCUCGUUGAGCCAACUCCUGCUGCUGCUACCGCUGCACUCAAGGUCGCAACAGCAAAGGCAAAGAAGGAUGGUAGGUCGAACAACAUGAAGUGGCAGCCGUUCAUGUCCACGUUUGUGCUGAACAAGAUGUGUGAGCUCAUCUCUAGUGGAGUUAGGACUGACAAGGGCUUCAAGGAGGUGCAUUUGAACACCGUUGCGAAGCAGGUGUUUGAGUUCUGUGGGUAG